GCGUGUUAUAUAAGAGAGAGAUCUUUGUGUGUGUGGGAGUGCAUAUCAAAUUUCAAGCAUCUAACUUAUGCAGUUUAGAUUUUUUCAUACAAUUUUUUUCCCAAUAACUCCCAUUUUUCAAAAUACAGCCAAAAAUAAACUUUAUAUUUACUAAGGUAUGCAUGCAUGCUAGAUUGAUUCAAUUGAUUGAAUUGAUUUUUUUUUUAAUUGAUUGUUCAUUGAGUUUUAAUUUUAAUACACACUUCCUCUCUUCCCUUCAACGUUGCUGUGCCCUACAGGGUCCAUGUUUUUGUUCCUAUGCCUAUGUAACACCCCAUUGUACUACAUGGAAUGCAAUAAAUAAUUUAAUUGAAUUGAAUUGAAAACAUCUAUCUUACGCGGUUUCGAUUUUUUCAUACAAAUGUUUUUUUCCCGUUAACUCCCGUUUCCGUGGGAAUUUUGCAAUAUCCUGUUGCAACUAAGCUUUAAGUUUACUAAAGUACCUGCAUGCCAAAUUUCAAACGUCUAACUUGAGUGGUUUAGAUUUUUCAUACAAAAGGAUUUUCCCGCUAAUUCCCGUUCCCGUGGGAAUUUCGGGAAUUCCUUUCUUAGUACACCUCUACGGUACCUAAGGUACCUGCAUGCCAAAUUUCAAACGUCUAACUUGAGUGGUUUAGAUUUUUCAUACAAAAGGAUUUCCCUUCACUACUCUGCUCCUAUUGAUUGUAGCGUGAUGAAAAGUAUACUAUGACCUGUCCAGGAGUGUGAAGAAUAAUUGUACCAAGUUUCAUUAAAAUCCGUCCAGUAGUUUUUGUUUCUAUAAGGAACAUACAGACAGACAGACAGACAGACAGACAGACAAAAAUUUUACUGAUUGCA